GAUGAACGCUGGCGGCGUGCCUAAUACAUGCAAGUCGAGCGAACGGACGAUAAUCUUUCUUCUCUGAUUUUAGCGGCUGACGGGUGAGUAACACGUGGAUAACCUACCUAUAAGACUUGUAUAACUUCGGGAAACCGGAGCUAAUACCGGAUAAUAUUUUGAACCGCAUGGUUCAAAAGUGAAAUACGUUCUUUCUGUCACUUAUAGAUGGAUCCGCGCUGCAUUAGCUAGUUGGUAAGGUAACGGCUUACCAAGGCAACGAUGCAUAGCCGACCUGAGAGGGUGAUCGGCCACACUGGAACUGAGACACGGUACAGACUCCUACGGGAGGCAGCAGUAGGGAAUCUUCCGCAAUGGGCGAAAGCAUGACGGAGCAACGGGGCGUGAGUGAUGAAGGUCUUCGGAUCGUAAAACUCUGUUAUUAGGGAAGAACAUAAGUGUAAGUAACUGUGCACAUAUUGACGGUACCUAAUAAGAAAGGAACGGCUAACUACGUG
rnacentral:rRNA from 1 species